UCCCCGACACGCUCUCGGGCUCAGAGCACCGCAGCCGCGUGUCUAUCAACGCUACCGAGGAGGAGGGCGACUUCUGAAACUGCACCAGGUUGUGAUAAAAGCAACUACACUGAGAUGGACAAGAGCUCCGAACCAGAGGAAAUACCCCUACAGUGAGGGAGAAAACCCAACUAAGACAACACAUGGGAGCUUGUGAUGACCUAACAGACAUAAGGAUUCCCUAGAAGCUUUGACUCCCAUCAACUGCAUUCACACACUGGAGGCCAAACAUCCACAAGUGUGUGACUCUGUUUAAAAAGUGCUAUAAUUUCAACAUGGUGAAGCUAAAAUGUAUAAAAAUACCCUUUAAUCAAAGCUGAGAAUCUGUACUUUAACCACUUAUGAAUAAAAAUAUGGAAAUAUGGCUUUGUAUCAAUCAUUAUGGAGCUCACUGUAUGUAUAAAAAGGGCUGUUAUUCCUACAAGAUUUACCCAAUAUGGAUGUAAAUACCCUCAAUUAAAGUUGACAGUAUUUAGACUACAACCACUUGUUGUAACACUACUUCAUUCUACAGAGUGAUUCAUUUUCCCAGAAAACGUUAAAUAGAGAACCUAUGGUAUAAUAUGCAAGACAGUAUUAUUGAAUGUCAAACAAGUUUUUCUCGUCAUCAUGAGACACUGUUAAGUGAUUUCAGCUAAAUUAAAUAAACCAGAAGCUGUAAGAAGCACCAACUUUGCCUGAGACUGAUUAUUGAAUGUUUUGUCAUGUCAUGUUUUGCUAGUUUGAUGUACUUGGAAGAACAAGUGCUCAUUGUUUAUGUACACAGUGCUUUAACAUGUAACAGCAGUACACUAAAAAC